GAUGAACGCUGGCGGCGUGCCUAAUACAUGCAAGUCGAGCGAACGGACGAGAAGCUUGCUUCUCUGAUGUUAGCGGCGGACGGGUGAGUAACACGUGGAUAACCUACCUAUAAGACUGGGAUAACUUCGGGAAACCGUAGCUAAUACCGGAUAAUAUUUUGAACCGCAUGGUUCAAAAGUGAAAGACGCUCUUGCUGUCACUUAUAGAUGGAUCCGCGCUGCAUUAUCUAGUUGGUAAGGUAACGGCUUACCAAGGCAACGAUGCAUAGCCGACCUGAGAGGGUGAUCGGCCACACUGGAACUGAGACACGGUCCAGACUCCUACGGGAGGCAGCAGUAGGGAAUCUUCCGCAAUGGGCGAAAGCCUGACGGAGCAACGCCGCGUGAGUGAUGAAGGUCUUCGGAUCGUAAAACUCUGUUAUUAGGGAAGAACAUAUGUGUAAGUAACUGUGCACAUCUUGACGGUACCUAAUCAGAAAGCCACGGCUAACUACGUG
rnacentral:rRNA from 1 species